rnacentral:rRNA from 1 species
UACGGGGGGGGCUAGCGUUGUUCGGAAUUACUGGGCGUAAAGGGCGCGUAGGCGGUCUGCUAAGUUGGAUGUGAAAACUCUGGGCUUAACCCAGAGCCUGCAUUCAAUACUGACAGGCUAGAGUUCUGGAGGGGAUAGCGGAAUUCCUGGUGUAGCGGUGAAAUGCGUAGAUAUCGGGAGGAACACCUAUGGCGAAGGCAGCUCGCUGGGACGUUACUGACGCUGAGACGCGAAAGCGUGGGGAGCAAACAGG